rnacentral:lncRNA from 1 species
UUGCUCGGCUCGGGCUUGAGCUCGGCUCUCCUGUUUUCACAACUGAAGAGAGUCGAAGGAAACUAGGAGGGGGAGGGAGCCGUCGCUAGAUUAGAAUGGCCUUGAGGAAACGCAAACUCUCCUGAAAAAAACUAAGAUUAGAAAUUGUCAUUUAUAUUCUUACACUCUUUAAUGUUAUAAUAGGAUUAGAUACUAAUUGAGAUAAAUUUAAAUCUCAGCCAUGAAUCCUUAUAACAAUGGUUGGAUCAGAUCUUAAUUAAAAAAUAUUUAGCCCCGAGAUUGGAAACAGAUUCCUAAUGUAGGGCUUAAAUCAGAUUAUCUCAGAAUAAGAAUAUCACAUUUUAUGAUAUCUCACUAGAACCAUGCUCUAUUGACUAUUAUAAUAUUCAAUUUUACUAUUACUUUUAUUAAUACAUGCGUAUAUUUUUAGCUAUGUUUGCAAAAGAACGGUUGAAUACAAUUAUUUGCACCACAACUCUCCACCCUGUCAUGUGAAUCCAGUGGACAAUCCAGCAGCUGGAGGAAAUCGACUUCAGAAUUUCUCUGGGAGUCCGAGAUCCUCCACAUAGUAGAUUUGAGUGUGAAGUUAACUGUACAGGUAUUUGCAUCAAAUACGUGUGAUUGAAGAGGAGAUGACUCAAAGACACUUCCCGUCCAACACAUAGUAGGCAAUCAAUUUGCGUUUAAAUUCUCCAGUCUUAGAUUUCUGAAAGUAUGAUGUAUUAUCAUUCCAUCUUACCUUCCACAACAAUACUAAAUUUUUUGUUGGCAGAUAAGAUCAUAUCCUUUCAAGCAAUCCAUCCUUAUUCCAGUGAACUCAUAAAUUCUUCAAGAUAGGUUUCAUAGCAGCAUCUGAGCCACCUCAUGUCCAGAUCCAUCUGCUAUUUGUCAAAAUCGACAGAAGGCCCUUCGGUCUUCUACAUCACAGAGUCCUAAGAAGGUUUUAUGUUGUGCAAGACUUUCCCCUUGAUAUACCUCUCUCUGAUCCAGGUAGAGAGAAUUUAUUCACCAAUGUUCCGGAAUUCCUCGUAGUUGGCUAAAAUAAGAAAUCUCAAACCCUCAAUGAUAAAAUAUACAAUUUAUUUUGGGAAUUAGUCUGAAAUGAGAGGUGGGUACGCAUUAAAAAUUCAUAAAAUAAUCAUGAUAAGAUUGUGUUUGAUGACAAAAAGAAGGAUAUGGUAGAAAAGCAAUUCAAUGAACUUACCAGAUGAGCAGAAAAAGUUUAUGCCUUUAAACUCACAAGACCGGAGAACUAGUGGUACAUCUGAUGCCAUCGUGUAUUGAGGUUUUCUAGUAAUCUUGCUUGUAUCCAGAAGCAGGUCAAUUAUCUGUAGAAAAAAUCAAUUCCAGAAAGAGAAAUUAACUACAAUUAUUCGAUAAAGAAAACACAUCAUAUAUAUAAUCAUUGAAGUUUAGUUUUAUUUGUCAGAUUUUUUUUUGAUGAGGAUAAGGUCCAUUGAAAAUGGAAAAAAAACAAGCAGUAAAAUACAUGACAAGAUGAUAUUUUUC